rnacentral:ncRNA from 1 species
GCUUAUCAAGAGUGGUGGAGGGACUGGCCCGACGAAGCCCGGCAACCGGCAUAUCUAUGCACUGGUGCUAAAUCCUGCAGUAUGUGAUUACAUACUGAGAGAUGAGA